rnacentral:rRNA from 1 species
GACGAACGCUGGCGGCGUGCUUAACACAUGCAAGUCGAACGGAAAGGCCCUGCUUUUGUGGGGUGCUCGAGUGGCGAACGGGUGAGUAACACGUGAGUAACCUGCCCUUGACUUUGGGAUAACUUCAGGAAACUGGGGCUAAUACCGGAUAGGAGCUCCUGCUGCAUGGUGGGGGUUGGAAAGUUUCGGCGGUUGGGGAUGGACUCGCGGCUUAUCAGCUUGUUGGGGGGGUAGUGGCUUACCAAGGCUUUGACGGGUAGCCGGCCUGAGAGGGUGACCGGCCACAUUGGGCCUACGAUACGGCCCAGACUCCUACGUGAGGCAGCAGUGGGGAAUAUUGCACAAUGGGCGGAAGCCUGAUGCAGCAACGCCGCGUGCGGGAUGACGGCCUUCGGGUUGUAAACCGCUUUCGCCUGUGACGAAGCGUGAGUGACGGUAAUGGGUAAAGAAGCACCGGCUAACUACGUG